rnacentral:pre_miRNA from 1 species
UGGAAGACUAGUGAUUUUGUUGUUCUGAUGUACAAUGACAACAAGUCACAGCUUCCUCA